GACGAACCGUGCGAACGUUAUUCGGAAUCACUGGGCUUAAAGCGCGUGUAGGCGGGCCGCCGCGUCGGCUGCUGAAAUCCCCCGGCUCAACCGGGGAACGGGCACCGAUACGGGCGGCCUGGAGGGGGGUAGGGGGGCCUGGAAUUUCCGGUGGAGCGGUGAAAUGCGUAGAGAUCGGAAAGAACGCCAACGGCGAAAGCACUCUGCUGGGCCGACACUGACACUGAGAGACGAAAGCUAGGGGAGCGAAUGGG
rnacentral:rRNA from 1 species